CGGCAGGAGACGCGGGGAGGGGGGGCAAUGAAGAAGCAACAGCAGCCGAGGGAGAAGAAGUAUUAACUUUCUGCACUCACGUGACACCGGGUCAUAUGACAUGUUAAAGCUGGUUGGGCGUUCCUGCCUGUAGGUAGAUAGAUGCACGUUUCGCGUCUGAGGUUGAUGGUCUUUCUUCCCGCACUUUGGAUUAUUUGAUCAGUUUUCAGUUCAGCUUCCCUUCAGAGUCACUUGUUGCUGAAGUAGCAGAUCAACUCCAAGGAUGGCAGGAUCCACAAGAUCCUGGUGUAGAUCUUUUAUUUCCCCCCUUGUUCUUGAUGCAGAUCUUCUCAUCCCCUCUUCCCUGGCGGGAAGUGGGGUGCCGUUUUGUGGUUUGCCUCAGGGGCCAAAAAGCCUAAUCAACCCUACCUUGAAAGAUUUCACCCUCCUGCCAUAGGAGCCAACUCCUAGGGGCCGAGGGAUCUUCGCCUCCCCCCAUAAAAUAUUUGAGGGGCUGCUCCCCCCCCCAAAAAAAGUUGCCAUUCAAAUGAUGUGUGUGAACUGUAUCAUGUGAUCAGUUGUUGAGGGGGCUUAGCUGGGCCUCCCCAAUAUUUUAUUCAAGUUGGAACCCCUGCCUCCUGCUACUCUGGAGGGUGGUUCCCCGCACUCCCCCCCCCCUCCACUGUACCAGCCUGCCUUAAGACAGUUUUUAAUGUACUUGUUGCUGUGUUGUUUCCUGAAAGGAAGUGGUUUUGUUUGUGUAUCAACAGAUUUAUCUUUCUGGUCCUGACUCAGACCUUUGGAACUUGGUUUCACAGAGAUACCUGGUUUGCCUUUAUGGAAAGCAGAAUGCUGGGCUAAAUGAAUAUUCUGACUGUUCCUGUCCUGCUCCUAUAUGAACCUGCCUGACCUUAAAAAUGGACUGCUCUCUGUCCCAUCUGUGUGUAACAUCUGGUGGGCAGAUACAAGAGUCAGGGCCGCCUUUGUGGAGGUGCUGGGGUCCGAAGGGGCUUCCUCCCAGGGUUACAGCUUCACCCACUGCAUA